rnacentral:rRNA from 1 species
GCCCAGUGACCAAUGUUCAACGGCCGCGGUAUCCUAACCGUGCGAAGGUAGCGUAAUCACUUGUUCUUUAAAUGUGGACUAGUAUGAACGGCAUCACGAGGGUUAUACUGUCUCCUUUCUCUAAUCAGUGAAACUAAUCUCCCCGUGAAGAAGCGAGGAUGAAACUAUAAGACGAGAAGACCCUAUGGAGCUUUAAAGUUCUUUUUCAAACGCCAAACCUCUUCCAAGUCACAGACUCCUGCACGAAACCACGCGCCAUGAAGACAACUUUUAGGUUGGGGUGACCAUGGAGUAUAAAACAGCCUCCACGCUGAACAGGCCUCUAAACCUUGAGCCAAGGACCACAGCCCGCCGCACUAAAAAAUUAACACACAUUGAUCCAAUGAAUUUUGAUCAACGAACCAAGUUACCCUAGGGAUAACAGCGCAAUCUACUUCAAGAGUUCCUAUCGACAAGUGGGUUUACGACCUCGAUGUUGGAUCAGGGUGUCCCAGUGGUGCAGCCGCUACUAAUGGUUCGUUUGUUCAACGAUUAAAACCCUACGUGA